CAAAGAAAGAAGUUGCGCAGGUCGCUCGUUUCGUCGAGGCAGCCGAAUGACGGACUACUAUUAUCUUAUACCAAUCGCGAUCGGCCUCGGGCUCACGGCUCUCCUGACGUUCAUGUGGUCGCUUGGGAGNNNNNNNNNNCAGUACGAAGAUCUCGACGGCGCGGCGGAGCGUAUUCUUCAUCAGGAGACGGACCAACCGC
rnacentral:misc_RNA from 1 species